AGCAAACAUAAAGGGAAAUCAAGAUCCCCUGUUCGUGUCUCUUCACCAGACUAGAAGAACCUGUAGUUCUUAGAGCUGCAGGGAAUGAUGCAGUCUGUAGCAAAUGGCACCUUACUCCAGAAGAUAUGUCUUUCUUUUUAAAGCAUGUGCUUCCAUGCCGUCCAUGCACAAGAGUGGAAAGUGACCUGUUGUGUUUGUGGAAGCUCUGGAAUCCCGCAGGAGAAGGAUCACU